rnacentral:rRNA from 1 species
AGCAGUCGCCACGGUAAUACGUAGGGUGCGAGCGUUAAUCGGAAUUACUGGGCGUAAAGCGUGCGCAGGCGGUUAUAUAAGACAGAUGUGAAAUCCCCGGGCUCAACCUGGGACCUGCAUUUGUGACUGUAUAGCUAGAGUACGGUAGAGGGGGAUGGAAUUCCGCGUGUAGCAGUGAAAUGCGUAGAUAUGCGGAGGAACACCGAUGGCGAAGGCAAUCCCCUGGACCUGUACUGACGCUCAUGCACGAAAGCGUGGGGAGCAAACAGGAUUAGAUACCCCUGUAGUCCCUGUCUCUUAUAA